rnacentral:rRNA from 14 species
CGGGGAAAGAAGACCCUGUUGAGCUUGACUCUAGUCUAGUAGUGUGAAACGUUUUUAGAGGCGUAGAAUAAGUGGGAGAUUGAAGCAAUUCGAUUGACAAUGAAAUACCACUACUUUGACAAAUGUUUUACUUAUUGAAUGAGAAAGAAAAUGUAAAUUUUAGAGAAAGCAAUUCUUUUUGGGUUGUGAUCUUUAUUCAAAAUAUUAUUAGAUAGGGAGUUUGGCUGGGGCGGCACAUUUACUAAAUGAU